rnacentral:tRNA from 1 species
AAAAUAGUAAUAUAAUAAAAAUAAAAAAUUUACUUGUUUGAUUACGAAGCCAUCCAUGUUCGUGUGUUUUU